rnacentral:rRNA from 1 species
CUACGGAGGGGGCAAGCGUUGUUCGGAAUUACUGGGCGUAAAGCGUACGUAGGCGGAUCGUUAAGUUAGAGGUGAAAUCCCAGGGCUCAACCCUGGAACUGCCUUUAAUACUGGCGAUCUAGAGAUCGAGAGAGGUGAGUGGAAUUUCCAGUGUAGAGGUGAAAUUCGUAGAUAUUAGAAAGAACACCAGUGGCGAAGGCGGCUCACUGGCUCGAUACUGACGCUCAGGUACGAAAGCGUGGGGAGCAAACAGGAUUAGAAACCCCAGUAGUCC